AUUGAACGCUGGCGGCAGGCCUAACACAUGCAAGUCGAACGGUAACAGGAAGAAGCUUGCUUCUUUGCUGACGAGUGGCGGACGGGUGAGUAAUGUCUGGGAAACUGCCUGAUGGAGGGGGAUAACUACUGGAAACGGUAGCUAAUACCGCAUAACGUCGCAAGACCAAAGAGGGGGACCUUCGGGCCUCUUGCCAUCGGAUGUGCCCAGAUGGGAUUAGCUAGUAGGUGGGGUAACGGCUCACCUAGGCGACGAUCCCUAGCUGGUCUGAGAGGAUGACCAGCCACACUGGAACUGAGACACGGUCCACACUCCUACGGGAGGCAGCAGUGGGGAAUAUUGCACAAUGGGCGCAAGCCUGAUGCAGCCAUGCCGCGUGUAUGAAGAAGGCCUUCGGGUUGUAAAGUACUUUCAGCGGGGAGGAAGGGAGUAAAGUUAAUACCUUGGCUCAUUGACGUUACCCGCAGAAGAAGCACCGGCUAACUCCGUG
rnacentral:rRNA from 1 species